rnacentral:rRNA from 1 species
CAGUAGCCGCGGUAAAACGAGGGGGGCAAGCGUUGUUCGGAAUUAUUGGGCGUAAAGGGUGCGUAGGCGGUUUGGCAAGUCUUGUGUGAAAUCUUCGGGCUCAACCCGAAGCCUGCACGAGAAACUGCCGGGCUUGAGUAUUGGAGAGGUGAGUGGAAUUUCCGGUGUAGCGGUGAAAUGCGUAGAUACCGGAAGGAACACCUGUGGCGAAAGCGGCUCACUGGACAAUAACUGACGCUGAUGCACGAAAGCUAGGGGAGCAAACAGGAUUAGAUACCCCCGUAGUCCCUGUCUCUUAUAC